rnacentral:rRNA from 1 species
UCAGACGAUGCGUCAUGCAUAUCAAUAAGCGGAGGAAAAGAAACUAACAAGGAUUCCCUUAGUAACGGCGAGUGAAGCGGGAAGAGCUCAAAUUUGAAAUCUUCAAGGUUUUACCUUGACGAAUUGUAGUUUAAAGAAGUGUUUUCUGCUGAAGUCUUGGUAAAAGUUCUUUGGAAUAGGACAUCACAGAGGGUGAGAAUCCCGUCUAUGAUUGCGAUUUGUAGCUUUGUGAUACACUUUCAAAGAGUCGGGUUGCUUGGGAAUGCAGCCCAAAACGGGAGGUAAAUUUCUUCUAAGGCUAAAUAUUGGCGAGAGACCGAUAGCGAACAAGCACCGUGAGGGAAAGAUGAAAAGAACUUUGAAAAGAGAGUUAAAUAGUACGUGAAAUUGUCAAAAGGGAAGCGUUUAACACCAGUGUUGUUUUCUGAAAAUCAACCUCUGUUAGCUUUAUGCAUGUUUGUUUAGACCUAAUCAGCUAUCUUGCAUGUUCUAUUGUUUGCAGUGGUGCACUUUUCAGUUUACAGGUCAACAUCAGUUUUUUUUACCGUAAAAAAGUUAAAGAAAGGUAGCUCAUGGCUCCGGUCGUGAGUGUUAUAGUCUUUUUCCUAUGCGGUAGGAGAGACUGAGGUCUGCAGUGUAGGCUAUUUGGCUAGAUACUCAGGUGCUAUGUGAUACCAUUUCAUAAACAACUUGUUGAUUAUGUUUUGUCUAUUGCAUACUCGCUUGUACUAUCAUACCUACGCUUAGGAUGUUGACUGAUAUGUAGUCGUA